AUUGAACGCUGGCGGCAUGCUUUACACAUGCAAGUCGAACGGUAACAGGCCGCAAGGUGCUGACGAGUGGCGAACGGGUGAGUAAUGCAUCGGAACGUGCCCAGUCGUGGGGGAUAACGCAGCGAAAGCUGCGCUAAUACCGCAUACGAUCUAUGGAUGAAAGCGGGGGACCGUAAGGCCUCGCGCGAUUGGAGCAGCCGAUGUCAGAUUAGGUAGUUGGUGGGGUAAAGGCCCACCAAGCCAACGAUCUGUAGCUGGUCUGAGAGGGCGACCAGCCACACUGGAACUGAGACACGGCCCAGACUCCUACGGGAGGCAGCAGUGGGGAAUUUUGGACAAUGGGCGCAAGCCUGAUCCAGCAAUGCCGCGUGCAGGAAGAAGGCCUUCGGGUUGUAAACUGCUUUUGUACGGAACGAAACGGUCCGGGUUAAUACCCUGGGCUAAUGACGGUACCGUAAGAAUAAGCACCGGCUAACUACGUGCCAGCCGCCGCGGUAAAAC
rnacentral:rRNA from 1 species